AACGAACGCUGGCGGCAUGCCUAACACAUGCAAGUCGAACGAGACCUUCGGGUCUAGUGGCUCACGGGUUCGUAACGCGUGGGAACCUGCCCUUAGGUUCGGAAUAACUCCCCGAAAGGGGUGCUAAUACCGGAUAAUGUCUUCGGACCAAAGAUUUAUCGCCUUUGGAUGGGCCCGCGUUGGAUUAGCUUGUUGGUAGGGUAAAAGCCUACCACGGCGACGAUCCAUAGCUGGUCUGAGAGGAUGAUCAGCCACACUGGGACUGGGACACGGCCCAGACUCGUACGAGAGGCGGCGGUGGGGAAUAUAGGACAAUGGGCGAAAGGCUGAUACAGCAAUGCCGCGUGAGUGAUGAAGGCGUUAGGGUUGUAAAGCGCUUUUAACCGAGAUGAUAAUGACAGUACCGGGAGAAUAAGCUCCGGCUAACUACGUG
rnacentral:rRNA from 1 species